rnacentral:rRNA from 1 species
AUGGAAGGCAGCAGUGAGGAAUAUUGGUCAAUGGAGGCAACUCUGAACCAGCCAUCUCGCGUGAAGGAAUACGGCCCUACGGGUCUUAAACUUCUUUUAUAGGGGGAUAAAGUGAGAUAUGUAUAUCUUUUUGUAGGUACCCUAUGAAUAAGGACCGGCUAAUUCCGUGCCAGCAGCCGCGGUAAUACGGAAGGUCCGGGCGUUAUCCGGAUUUAUUGGGUUUAAAGGGAGCGUAGGCCGUGCUUUAAGCGUGUUGUGAAAUGUAGGCGCCCAACGUCUGCACUGCAGCGCGAACUGGAGCACUUGAGUACGCAGGAAGUAGGCGGAAUUCGUCGUGUAGCGGUGAAAUGCUUAGAUAUGACGAAGAACUCCGAUUGGGAAGCCAGCUUACUGUAGCGCCACUGACGCUGAUGCUCGAAAGCGUGGGUAUCGAACAGGAUUAGAUACCCUGGUA